GAUGCUGGAGACUUAUAACAACCUAAUGUCCUUGGGGCACUGUGUUCCUAAACCUAUAUUGAUUGUGAAGCUGGAGCAAGGUGCAGAACCAUGGAUAAGAGAA